rnacentral:lncRNA from 1 species
AGACAGGACACCCACUGGGCCUAAAUGAAAUUAGAGAACAGAGCAGUGCUACAAGUGGUUUAAUUCAAAUUAUAGUAAGGCAUUAUUGCCAACUGCAAGUGCUCAGAAUCAUGAGUCAGACCCCCACAAGGAACGAGACAGGCUUAAAAAAAUCAUGACUUGUUAAGUAUAUAAUUAACUUUGGGGUUAUUUUUAUUUACCUUCCAGUUUUUAGCCUUCAGGAAUCAAAUUUUUGAGCUUGCCUGAAUGAGCGUUGGAAACCGCUUAAAAUUAAAGAGGGGGGAGAAGAAGAAGAAGGGAAGUCUCCCACAUUCCCACGAUGCCAGGGGCUGGGGAUUGAACGCGACACCACGUGUCACAGGAGUGGCAAUAGCAUCUCCGGAGCCGGGACCGCUGCGGAAAUCAAAGCCCAGCGUGCUCCUCCGAGUCAGGAGCUGCGGGCAACUGCAAAUAUCGCCCGCAGAGGACCUCUGGAACAAGGCGCUGCUUUCUUCUCCAAAGCAAGCUCCCUGCUCCUGUGUCCUGGGCACUGCACAAAGGGGCUUUGAGGGGAGCCCUGGUGAGCUGCCGGCCCCGUGCACGAGGGAAAUGGAUCUGCGCGGGACACCACGGAAAGGGCUGAGGCUGAUGUAACAUCAUGAGACUCCUGGGAGCGUGCACGACGUUGGGCAGGAAGCGUCUGGGGAGGCUGAGCAGGGUCACUGGGUGACGCCAGCUGUGUCAAGGAAGCGUUGGGACACGGCUGGGCACUUUGCCGGGCAAGGGCCGAGUUUCUCCAUGUGCCCAAGCUGCUCGCGCAGCCUCGGAGCAAGCGGAGCCUGGGGGAGCCGAACGGGCCAAGCCUCCCCUGCUCCCUGCCUCGGGUUGUGUCUUCGCCUGUUUCCGCUGAACAGAUAGUACCCUGCUAUCUUUCACUGAAACAUCAUGUCCAAUUUAUCCCUUGAUUAAACCCAUAUUUUGCUUGGCUAUAUGUCAAAUAUAAGAAGGCCGCACUCAAGUGAACUAAUCUUGGUUUACUUGCCAGUAGGUAAUUUGAUAGACAAUUUGGCAGGCAUCCACUCUAGAAUUAAGCAAACCUGAGCAAUAAAGAUGUAGAAAAACAAUCCUGAAAAGCCA